rnacentral:rRNA from 1 species
CUACUUAGUGACCGAUAGCGCAUAGUACUGUGAAGGAAAGGUGAAAAGGACCCCGGGAGGGGAGUGAAAAAGAACCUGAAACCAUAUGUUUACAAGCUGUGGAAGAGCUUUAUAUGCUCAACCGCGUACUUUUUGUAGAACGGUCCGGCGAGUUACGCUGGCUGGCGAGGUUAAGGACUAAAGGUCCGGAGCCGAAGGGAAACCAAGUCUGAAUAGGGCGCAUAGUCAGUCGGAGUAGACCCGAAACCGGGUGAUCUAUCCAUGUCCAGGUUGAAGUUGCCGUAAAAGGCAAUGGAGGACCGAACCCACAUCCGUUGAAAAGGGUGGGGAUGAGGUGUGGAUAGGGGAGAAAUUCCAAUCGAACCCGGAGAUAGCUGGUUCUCCUCGAAAUAGCUUUAGGGCUAGCCUCAUACGAGUCUUGCGGAGGUAGAGCACUGAAUUCCUAAGGGGGCGUCAAAGCUUACUAAGGGAUAUCAAACUCCGAAUGCCGUGUAGAUGAUGUAUGGGAGUCAGACGAUCCGAGAUAAGUUGGGUGGUCAAAAGGGAAAGAGCCCAGACCAACAGCUAAGGCCCCAAAAUGUGUGUUAAGUGGAAAAGGAUGUGGGAUUUCGAAGACAACUAGGAUGUUGGCUCAGAAGCAGCCAUUCAUUCAAAGAGUGCGUAAUAGCUCACUAGUCGAGAGGUCCUGCGCCGAAAAUGUCCGGGGCUAAAACACACUGCCGAAGCUUUGGAAUUGAGAAUUCAAUUGGUAGAGGAGCAUUCUUAAAGGGACGAAGCAGUACCGGAAGGAGCUGUGGACUUUUAAGAAGAGAGAAUGCCGGAAUGAGUAGCGAGAUGGAGGUGGGAAUCCUCCAGGCCGAAUAUCUAAGGUUUCCAGAGUAAAGCUGAUCUGCUCUGGGUAAGUCGGGGCCUAAGGCGAGGUCGAAAGACGUAGUCGAUGGAUAACAGGUUGAAAUUCCUGUACUAUCCUGUAACAGAACUGUGGGGACACAGGCAGAGAGCGUGAGCCGGGAAUGGAAAGACCGGUACAAGCGAGGUAGGAGAAGAGUUGGCAAAUCCGCUCUUCAAUCUGAAGACGUGAUGUGGACUGAAAAUAAGUAGGGAAGCACGUGAGCUGACUGUCAAGAAAAGCCGCUAUUGUUUGCAGGAUACCCGUACCGUAAACCGACACAGGUGGAUGAGGAGAGAAUCCUAAGGCCGACGGGAGAAGCAUUGUUAAGGAACUCGGCAAAAUGACUCCGUAACUUCGGGAGAAGGAGUGCCAGUAAGAUGGCCGCAGAGAAUUGGCCCAAGCAACUGUUUAGCAAAAACACAGGUCUAUGCAAAACCGAAAGGUGAGGUAUAUGGGCUGACGCCUGCCCGGUGCUGGAAGGUUAAGGGGAGAGGUUAGCGCAAGCGAAGCUUUGAACUUAAGCCCCAGUAAACGGCGGCCGUAACUAUAACGGUCCUAAGGUAGCGAAAUUCCUUGUCGGGUAAGUUCCGACCCGCACGAAAGGCGUAAUGAUUUGGGCACUGUCUCAACAAUGCACCCGGUGAAAUUGAAAUACCAGUGAAGAUGCUGGUUACCUGCGCCAGGACGGAAAGACCCCAUGGAGCUUUACUCCAGCUUGAUACUGGGAUUCGGUAUUGCAUGUACAGGAUAGGUGGGAGGCUAAGAAGUGGUAACGCCAGUUGCCAUGGAGCCGCUGUUGGGAUACCACCCUUGCAGUACUGGGUUUCUAACCAGCAGCCGUGAUCCGGCUGGGGGACAAUGUCAGGUGGGGAGUUUGACUGGGGCGGUCGCCUCCGAAAGGGUAUCGGAGGCGCUCAAAGGUUCCCUCAGAAUGGUUGGAAACCAUUCGAAG